rnacentral:rRNA from 1 species
GACGAACGCUGGCGGCGUGCUUAACACAUGCAAGUCGAGCGGUAAGGCCUUUCGGGGUACACGAGCGGCGAACGGGUGAGUAACACGUGGGUGAUCUGCCCUGCACUCUGGGAUAAGCCUGGGAAACUGGGUCUAAUACUGGAUAUGACCUCAGCAUGCAUGUGCUGGGGUGGAAAGCUUUUGUGGCGCAGGAUGGGCCCGCGGCCUAUCAGCUUGUUGGUGGGGUAAUGGCCUACCAAGGCGACGACGGGUAGCCGACCUGAGAGGGUGACCGGCCACGCUGGGACUGAGACACGGCCCAGACUCCUACGGGAGGCAGCAGUGGGGAAUAUUGCACAAUGGACGGAAGCCUGAUGCAGCGACGCCGCGUGAGGGAUGAAGGCCUUCGGGUUGUAAACCUCUUUCAGCAGGGACGAAGCGUGAGUGACGGUACCUGCAGAAGAAGCACCGGCUAACUACGUGCCAGCAGCCGCAGUAACAC